AACCCAUGGUGAGGGCACCUUCUCAGUAAGUCCUUGUACCUCUCCCAUGCAUCGUAAAGUGUUUCUAAAUCCAUCUGCACAAAA
rnacentral:snoRNA from 1 species